ACUGGGUUGCUGGGCAGAGCUGUAAGGUAAGUUGCAAUUUUGCCCUUGUUACCAACUGACACAACUCUUUGUCUAGUUUUUCGACGGAUGACAACAUCAGCAUUUCAUGCUUUUUGUCACUCGAAAAUCUAAAAUAAAAACAGGAAACUGAGCAAAAGCACAAAUAGAGAAUGCUUAGCAACCACCAACAACGUUGCAGGUUUUCCUCUAAAUUGUCUUUUAUGAUUUGAAAAUAAUUAUUAAAAAAAACAAGUGACCAGUCCUGUGGAACGCUGAUCAUCGUAAUAUUACAUCUCAGAUUACAAACGCAGCAUAACCUGACAACAAGGAAUGUGUUUACGCUGAGGCUGUUUCACGCACACGGCAACGCAAUAACAACUAGCAGACGAUAAUGAGGAAAGACGUGUGUGUGGCUCGUCGUGUUUCCCUCCGAUUUCUUUGACUUUAGCGAACGUUUCUUUUUUUAGUCGAACGAAAUUAAACGAUUCGUCUUGCUAAAAAAGAAUAAAUUGAACAUUGGCCAACCCUAAUCAGAAAAAAUCAUUCCUGGAUGCAAUCGGAUAGAACUUGUUUUCUUUUACUGCCUUUUUUUCUGAAUUCAUUCCUUAUUGAUUAAAUUAUUAUUAACAGCAACCCCACUGGGCUUUUUCUUAAGAAAAAAAAAAGAAAAGAAAUGCUAAUAGCUUAUUAUAUUCCUCCCAUCUGUUAUUAUAGUCUGUUACGUCACUGUGGCUUUCGGGUAAGCCAAAACUUUGUUUCGUUCAGUUUCGAUAAACAGCGAAGAAAAACAGCAGAACUGACGACGCCAUUGCUUUUUCGCACGAGUGAAAAGGAAGAAAAAAGGUGCUAGUGUGUAACUCGUACGUAAAUUUGUGAUUUUAACUUCACGUGUAGCAGCAGCACAGCAGCUAUCAAUGCUAAACGUUCUCCUUGUGGAAUCCGGUUAGCAACACAAACAAAGUUCUUCCUUUAUGUGUGGGCAGGAAAUCUAUAGUCCCCUGAUACACAUCAUAUCACGCCCAAACGAACGCCACGAGACAUUUCAAAUGAAACUGUCGUGUUUUUAAUUGAAGCACGAGAAAAAGGUUAUCGUGUAAAAAUAGUAAGAAGACAUUUUGUUUGGACGGGAGGGACGUUGGAUUGAGCCCAGUAUUUCUCGGAAUAGGUAACUGUGUAUUCUUUCAAAAUUAUCAGUUUUAUUUUUGAUUCCAAGAAAUUGAAACGAGCUUUAGUGGAUGGUGUUUAUAUCUUGGAUGUCGUCGUGUACAUUCAGCAACACUCAAAAACUCGAUCCAAAAGUCGUGUUUUUUCUCGUUUUUUUUAUUUUUUUAUUGAAAAUGGCAUCAAGUUUAAGGGUUCACGCGGGAUCAAGGUUUUUGACGUAUUGGGUUCUGUUCGGGUUUUGUGUAUGUACAUGCCAUAAUUCUUAUUUUUCAUUUGGAUACGCAUUUCUUAAUUUGAAUUAGUCCAUGUGGAAACAUUUUUUUAAAAAUCGAUUUUCUUCGGUGCUUUCAUGCCUUUUGUUUUUGUUCGAAAAUUGAGUUGACGUCAUCGUUCAUCAGAUAUAUUUGCUGUGUGCGGGCAUGUGUAGCAAAAAAGGUCAGGCGCAAAGAGCAGCCAAGGAGAGAAAUUAAAAUAACAAACCGCCCCAGAGGAACAUAACGAGUAGUACAUCACACGUCGAAAUGUAACACCAUUUUCCUCUUCAGAACAGCUUAUAGAAAAUAUAGCCAUAACAGAAAGGCUAUAUGUAAUAACAUUCCAACGAAACGUCGAUAUUUUUGUUGAGUAAAUAUUCACUUUCUCUCGAAACGCUCAAAGAGCAAAAAAAAAAGGAAAAAUCGAUAAAUAAUUAAACUUGAGGAUUUAGGUUUUAAGGGACAUGACGUGUCCUAAAUAGAUAAAAACAGAUGGGGCACAAAAAAAAACAUGUAAUAUUGGUACUGCGGAUGUUAUUGACACGCUCACGCUGGUUCGCCGGAUCCGCGCUGUAUUAUUGUUAUUUAUUACAUACGCCUUACAUUAACUUUUUUAGCUUUAGCUUGCUUUUUUAAAAUUUCAUUUUGAUUAGGUUCGUGUUUUUAUGCUUUCAACAAAAAAUGUAGGCGAACAAAUUUUAUUUAGUACCAAAUUAUUGGGACCGUAAGGAAGGAAAUGUUCUCCACGUGUGUCCGGCUUGUGCAAGUCUCCCAAAUUUUUAUUGAUUUCUAUUUUUGUUUGUUCCUUAAUUGUUUCGUUUACAUUUUAAAGUUUUGUUUUUGUUUUUUUCCCCCCCGUUUUUACGACUUUUUAAAGUCAACCAAAAUAACAUUGGGAAAUGGGUUGGAGAGAAGACCGCAGCAGCAGACGUUCUUGUUAUAUAAUUAAUGAAUUCUUUUCCCCAUGAAGACAUUCUAAUUAUAAAAUGCACAAUGUCUUGCAAGUACUAGACAAUAUUUUACAUACCGUCAUAUCAAAAUGUAUUUGUGUAGAGAGAGUAACAAUGUGUAUGUCGAAUAGUAUCGUGAUUCUACAGAAUAUGUAAAAAAAAAAAACUCUUGUCAAUUUGAUUUAUUUACUUAUUUUUUUUAGGAGGAGGAGAUUUUUCCAGCUAAGGAGAAGACACUCCUUUUUUUUGUUGAACAAG